CCACCACAUUCAGUUUAACGAAUUCAACCAGCCAAAGAACUCGUAUUGCAAGUUUAGCCGGUUAGCUACAAAUAAUUUCCUUUCUAGUGAUUCUUUCAGUGUUUUUUCGUGUUGAAUUAUUGAUUCCAACAUUUAAUUCAGGCAUGAGUGACGUUGACGUCGUGGAAUUAACUUUGGACAUUCCUUGAGGUGUUGUAUUGGUUCUUUGUAUGUCUAGACAACAACGGGUACAAUGGGAAAAUCGCUUGAAAGGUGUUGGUGUGCAGUUUAAAUUGUGCCUUGUUGGAUGUUUUUUUUAUUGUCAACGUUCGAGCUAGUCAGCUAGAACAACGAUGUGCAAGAUAGUCCCAUGUCUUGUGAUAGAUUAUGAAAUAGAAGAAUAUACAAUGCCACACUGGAGGACAUAAAAGUCAACAUCAAAUCCUUAUUAUAAUAUUGCCCGUCUAAAGUCAUCCCACCACCGCAAAAAUAUGCUACCUGCCUGAAGCCUGAUGUUUACGCGCCCUACUUAAAACGGAUAACUAGUGUGCCUGUCAGACAAUUCUGGACUCGCUCACUCUCUCUUCAUCUUGAAGGGUUUUUGGUUGCGGAAUUGUUGCUGAUCCGAAACAACAGAAAGGUGCAAUGUACGGGCUUGAAAACGCCUUAGUAAUUUCCUGCUUCCUAUUGAACUCUCCAUCAGUGUAUAAAAGAGCAACGUCGGUUUAGUUUUGACACCAGUCUCGUCUUUUCAACCCGGACCUCAACUUUAACCUGAUUGCAUUGAAUUGAUUCAAAUUGUGAUGUUCUCCAUCGUUUGGUUGCUCUGUUUCUUGGUGAUUACGGCGUCUAGUGAUUUUAGGACGAGCUUGGGGACCAUCAGAUUUCAGCAGAAGAUAAAAGAAAUGGCGGAGUCAUUGCUGCGCUUCUCUUUCAUCCACUCGAUAGUCGAUCCUUGCGAUUUCUCAUCUAACGUGUUUUACUCCGAAGAUGCACCGUGGAGAGAUUUAACAGGAAAUGGGGGAAUUCCGUUUGUCCAGUAUGAAUUGGCCGGCCCUUUCAACCAGCAAGCAGGGUAAGAAAAAAUUUAAAUCCAGCAUGAUGGCCGAUUUCCAUUGUACAAAACCAUCCCCACCCUAAAUCUCCUAUGAUGAGUCAUGAUGAGCAAGUAAUGGAGUCGACUCGAAGCCAUCGUCUAUAGUUUUCCGUUAGAUGGGAAACUCGCAACCUCGUCGAUGUCAGGGUGAUGACUUCAUGAUGACCACAUUUUCUUUGGCUUGAGCUCUGGGCUUUUUCGGUAAUUUUUUCUAUACUUCGAAGCUGUGCUAGAGACACGAUUCCAAUAGACAGACUUGCAUGGGCCAUCAAGCACCGACCGAUCGAUUACAACGCCCCUAGCGGUGUCUGUCGGUGCAAUAGCCAAAUACGCAUUUCGAGCACCGACAAGCUGUCGGUGCAGUUGAAUUUACGGGAUGUUUCAGUUGUCCAAAAGGCUAGAGUAGAGCUGAAUUAUUUACGAUUUCUGUAUAAUUGGAUUCACGUUCGUUGCUCUUACCCAGGGGAGUAACGAGACGGGUUUGUGCGGUUUCUAUCACUAUUUUCAUGGUGAUUUUACAAGUCUCGUUCGUAAUAUAAAUUUGACUUGGUCAAUUUAUUGAUUCCAACAUUUAGCUAUUACUGAUGUCCUACCAAUUUUAAGCUUUAUUCUUUUCAAAAAGCUAUAAUCUGUGUGUUUGCUUGGAUCAUUCAGUGAGUGUCUUUGACGUCGUGGAACUAGCUUUCAUCUUAUCCUCAAGGGAUGGCUGUAAAUCUCCAUUGUCGAUCACCACACUCCACAGGGUUUUGAUGUCAAAAUCUGGAGACUGAGCUCUCUUAAUAAUUGUAAUUAAGGUUUGUUCCCAGUUCUCUGUUGCUAAAUCAUUGCGUAUUUUUCAUCACGUGUUAGUGUGUGCACUUCUCAAUCGUGCCUUGUCGAGCGUUAAUUAUUAGUAAUCAUAAUUAUUGUUUCUUUUUUUAAAUAUAUAUCCCGAUCGCCACGCCUCCAUAUGUUGAUGGAUGGGGAGGGAGGUGCAAAAAUUACCAACGGGAAAAUUAAUCACGUAGGAAGCAACUGAGAUCGAACAGUUCUACAGGCUGUACCUUAAACGGGGACCACAUUUUACGUUUUCUGGUUUUACGUUUGUAUUAAUUUCGAAUGUAUGUUACCGCGCAAUUCCUUAAUUAAUUGCGUGUGUCAAUUACUUCAUUUUUCCUUCUGGUGUUUUGACGUCUUGACGUUUCAAAUGAUUUUUUCAUGUUUCGGAUUUGAAUGUGUUUAGAUGACAAAUUUUUGCUGGUGAGCCGUCUGACUGAAUGUCAUCGAUUUCUUUAUCUUUGUGACGUUUUCUAACACUGUUUGUUCUUUUUACAGGUUUCGCUGACAUUUACUCCCCCGCUGUCUCCACGGCUCGAUUAAGUGCCCGUUCCAUUCCCAGCUAUUUAAGUAAUACCAACUUGAGUUCUGCAAACGUGUUAAACAUAGCAAAAUCAUACGGGGACUUGAUUUUGAUUGCAGUUCUUCAACUGGAUUCAAUUAGGUUUCUUGGUGGUUACGGCGUCUGAUGAUUUGAUGACGAGUUUGGAGACCAUCAGACUUCAGCAGAAGAUAAAAGAAAAGGCGGAGUCAUUGCUGCGCUUCCCUUUCAUCCACUCGCUAGUCGAUCCUUGCGAUUUCUCAUCUAACAUGUUUCACUCGGAAGAUGCAGCGUGGAAAGAUUUAUCAGGAAAUGGGAGAAUUCCGUUGGUCCAGCAUUCACUCGGUUACAUCCGUUCAAACCUAGUAGACGAGCAUUUCACUGAACUGCUCAAUUUAAACGACGCCAGGAGAGAAGAGGAGCAGUCCUUGCUGACCAAAGAGUUUCAACUCGUCGUUUCACAAACCUUGCACUUGAUCAGUAGCAUUUAUUCACCCUCGGCGCUACGUAAAUGCGACGGCUACCAGUUGGAGUCACUUCCCCGAGACAAGUUAUUCGUCCUUUCCUCUACGGAAGGCCCUCAGUUGCAACCUGUUUACGAGGACGGUGGAAGCCUUUCUUCAAUUUCCCAGCUGAUGUCGGCCGUGAUUCCCUUCGACGGAUGGAGCAACCCAGAGCUGCGAGUAUUCUGCCGUCCAGCAGUAUUCGUCAUCAAGCGGGUCGUAUCUGGGAAACGAAAGACUCGCCCAUUCGCCACGACACCCAGUCAGGAAACGGUGAACGUUGCCAUCAAGUUCUGUACGGCUUCUUUUUAAUUAGAUCGUCUAAUUUUACUUUGAAAGUAUUUGAAUGUCGAUGCAGCCAAAGUGUUUGUACGCACCUCCAAUUAGAA
rnacentral:lncRNA from 1 species